GGUGGCCGAGCACCCAGGUUAUGGAACCAGACCAGCUGGGAGCAGCCCCAACCCCACCACCUACCAGCACUGCGGGGCCUUGGACACACUGCCUAGUGUGACUUGAUUUCCCCUAUCAGGACAAUGGAAAGCAUCCUCCAGGAUCACAGGCAGUCGGAAGGCCGUGUUUGCAUCCUAACGUUUCAGUGUCUCAGUUUUUCUACAGAUGCAUCGCUCCCCCUCCUAGUGGAGCUGUAGGGAGGCUCAGCUAAGGCAGGCAAAGGUCCAGGAAUGAGGGGGAAGCUAGGAAGUCUAAUAAAUAAAGC
rnacentral:lncRNA from 1 species